GGGUUGUAGGACUCCAAUAUGGUAGUUCUUUCAGAUAGUCGAAUGACUUGGAAAAGUCAGUCACAGAGGGUAAAAACCCCGUAGACGAAAUGUGGAAGACCCCUAGGAGGAUCCUGAGUACGGCGGAACACGAGAAAUUCCGUCGGAAUCCGGGAGGACCAUCUCCCCAGGCUAAAUACUCCCAAGUGACCGAUAGUGAACCACUACCGGGAGGGAAAGGUGAAAAGCACAACGGAAGGGGAGUGACAUAG
rnacentral:rRNA from 1 species